GGCGGUAUUGACCUGGAAUGGUGUAAGGAGGCCGAGGGUGCGAUCCAGGUUGUUGUGCAUGGGCAUUAUAGUAUGGGCCACGCCACCCUGGAUAAGCAGGUUGACCAUAGUCAUGGUUUGCAGGUGGCUGUUGCUGGGUCUGUGGAGGUGGGUAUGGACUACCAGCUUGAGGAGGUGGGUAUGGACUACCAGCUUGAGGAGGUGCAUAUGGACUACCAGCUUGAGGAGGUGCAUAUGGACUUGUAGGUUGUGGUGGCACAUGGUAAGGAGAUGGCAUCUGCUGCGUUGAGCUAUAGGGGGGAGGGUGAGUAUAUCCAGCAAUUGCUGGCUGCUCAGGAGGAUGGUAGUAUGGUGGGGUUUGAGGACGAGGAUCUGUUGGCUGUUGUGAACCAGGUUGUCCCACAGAACGAUAGUUGUUGUCGUACGCACCUGUGGUUUUCGUAUCCUGGAAACUGAGGCCUGCCAUUUUUUUGUGAACAUCUUCAAUCAUUU
rnacentral:lncRNA from 1 species